AGCAGUCGCCGCGGUAAUACGAAGGGUGCAAGCGUUAAUCGGAAUUACUGGGCGUAAAGCGCACGUAGGCGGGCUUUUAAGUCAGGGGUGAAAUCCCGGGGCUCAACCCCGGAACUGCCUUUGAUACUGGAAGUCUUGAGUAUGGUAGAGGUGAGUGGAAUUCCGAGUGUAGAGGUGAAAUUCGUAGAUAUUCGGAGGAACACCAGUGGCGAAGGCGGCUCACUGGACCAUUACUGACGCUGAGGUGCGAAAGCGUGGGGAGCAAACAGGAUUAGAUACCCCCGUAGUCCCUGUCUCUUAUAC
rnacentral:rRNA from 1 species